rnacentral:rRNA from 1 species
AGCGAACGCUGGCGGCAGGCCUAACACAUGCAAGUCGAACGAACUCUUCGGAGUUAGUGGCGGACGGGUGAGUAACACGUGGGAACGUGCCUUUAGGUUCGGAAUAACUCAGGGAAACUUGUGCUAAUACCGAAUGUGCCCUUCGGGGGAAAGAUUUAUCGCCUUUAGAGCGGCCCGCGUCUGAUUAGCUAGUUGGUGAGGUAAAGGCUCACCAAGGCGACGAUCAGUAGCUGGUCUGAGAGGAUGAUCAGCCACAUUGGGUCUGAGACACGGCCCAAACUCCUACGGGAGGCAGCAGUGGGGAAUCUUGCGCAAUGGGCGAAAGCCUGACGCAGCCAUGCCGCGUGAAUGAUGAAGGUCUUAGGAUUGUAAAAUUCUUUCACCGGGGACGAUAAUGACGGUACCCGGAGAAGAAGCCCCGGCUAACUUCGUG